rnacentral:rRNA from 1 species
GACGAACGCUGGCGGCGUGCUUAACACAUGCAAGUCGAACGAUGAAGAAGAGAAACGCGAACUUCGGUUCAAAUUUCACUUCGGAUUAGUGGCAGACGGGUGAGUAACGCGUGAGCAACCUACCUCUUACAAAGGGAUAGCCUCGGGAAACCGUGAUUAAUACCAUAUGACACAUUCAUAAGGCAUCUUAAGAAUGUUAAAGCUACGGCGGUAAGAGAUGGGCUCGCGUCCCAUUAGCUAGUUGGUGAGGUAACGGCCCACCAAGGCGACGAUGGGUAACCGGGCGGAGAGGGUGAACGGUCACAUUGGAACUGAGACACGGUCCAAACUCCUACGGGAGGCAGCAGUGGGGAAUAUUGCACAAUGGAGGGAACUCUGAUGCAGCGACGCCGCGUGAGCGAUGAAGGAAUUCGUUUCGUAAAGCUCUGUUCUAUGGGAAGAAAAGGACUGUACCAUAGGAGAAAGCCCCGGCUAAAUACGUG